CUCUCUUUGAUUUCUACUUCUCAGGUGAGGGUGCUGUUCAGGUAAGGGUGAUGUCUGUACAAAAACAAAACAGGCUCUUUUAAGAGUCACCCAUAUUGAAAACAUUUAGAACAAUUAGACACCCUAUAACCCAUACCUACACACUUGGGUAUCAAUCUGAUUGAUGGAUUGUGUUGUGCAGUAAGCAGGCUCAGGUGUAUAACUGGCUCCUUCCACCUUCAAAGAAUAGGCAAGAGGACCAACCAUGGAGAAUAGUAAGACACUUCGUUAUUUAUAUAACUACGCUAUAUUGUUUGUCCUUGUGUGUCUGUGCAUGUUUUUCAGUAUAAAGUACUCUGCAAUCACUUAGUGUGGACACCAGGUGAGGCCACACACACAUAUUCCUGUUGAACACUGUCUCUUUAACUACCUUAUUUUCUCAAUAACAGUCUCUCUCCUUCACUUCAUCCCUCUCCCCCCUUCUCCCUAAAUCCUCUAGGUUAUAUCAGCUGUGUCAGUUAACCCCUCCUGCAUCUGAACUGGCUGACACAUAGAGGGCACAGCAUGAUCAGAGGUAUGUUUUGAUGUGAGAGAGGAUGCCAACCCUCAGUCUCGUCAUUGCCACCUCACCCGCUCUUAAGAUAACCUUCAGGCCAACUGGGAGGCCAAGGCUGGUUAGGAGACACAGCUAGAGACAGUUAUGUAAUUGUGAUGACCUGAGAGAAUAUGAAGUUUAGUAGCACUGUAAUUCAUUAAUCAAAUGCUGUCUUCUCUGUUCUUACCUCUUUCCCUUUGUCUGUCUUUUACCCUCUCACACCUCACUCCCCACCUCCUCUUUCGUCUUCUGUUAUUAUAAUGCACACCAGAUGUGCAUUGAAGUACAGAUUGAACUUGUACUUAUAAUAUUACUAUGUAUUUAUUACACUUGGAUAAUUCACUUCUUUCAAUAAAGUGUUUCACAUUCUC